rnacentral:misc_RNA from 1 species
UUUCCGUAGGUGAACCUGCGGAAGGAUCAUUAAAAAAUUGGACUCCAUUGGUGAGUUCAUUAAUAAUCCCUACCCUUUGUGAAUUUGUUUGUUUGAAUAAUUUUUUUUCCAAAAAAAAUUAUUGAAUGUCUUUCCUUGUUUUGGUGGAGCUUGUAAAGUGAAACCAGGCAGGGGAAUGGCAAACAAUAAUUAUUUUGAAAAAGACCUUUUUUAAAAUUAAACUUUUUGUAUUCAUUUGUCUAAAAUUAAUUUUUAUAAUAUAAAACAACUUUUGACAAUGGAUCUCUUGGUUCUCGCAACGAUGAAGAACGCAGCAAAAUGCGAUAAGUAGUGUGAAUUGCAGAAUACGUGAAUCAUCGAAUCUUCGAACGCAUAUUGCACUUUUUUAGUUUACUAAAAAGUAUGUCUGUUUGAGUAUCAGUAAAUAUUCUCAUAAAAAACAUUGUUUUUUUUAUGGUUAUGAGUGUUUACAACGAUAACAAGUUGUUUCACUUUAAACUCUUUGUUAUCAAAAAAUCAUUAAAGCUAAUUUUAAAGAUUUUUAAAAUUGGAUAAAAUUUCCCGUAAAAAGGAAUAACCUAAACAAUUUUAAAAAAUUAAAAUUGGUUUGAUUUUUUUGAAACCCAAAGGAAAAAAAAACGAAAUUAACUUGAUCUCAAAUCAGAUAAGAGUACCCGCUGAACUUAAGCAUAUCAAUAAGCGGAGGAAAAGAAACUAACUAGGAUUCCCUCAGUAACGGCGAGUGAAGCGGGAGGAGCUCAAUUUGAAAUCUUCAAGGUUUUACCUUGACGAAUUGUAGUUUAAAGAAGUGUUUUCUGUUGGAGUUUUGGUAAAAGUUCUUUGGAAAAGGACAUCAUAGAGGGUGAGAAUCCCGUAUUUGACCAUUAUCUCCAGCUUUGUGAUACACUUUCAAAGAGUCGGAUUGUUUGGGAAUGCAGUCCAAAAUGGGUGGUAAAUUUCAUCUAAAGCUAAAUACUGGCGAGAGACCGAUAGCGAACAAGUACCGUGAGGGAAAGAUGAAAAGAACUUUGAAAAGAGAGUUAAACAGUACGUGAAAUUGUCAAAAGGGAAGCGUUUGACACCAGUGUUGUUUUCUCGAAAAUCAAUUAAAAAAGGCCGGAUUUUGUGUUGUAUUGACUUUAUCAGCUUUCUGCACUCUUUUCUUGUCUUUUUUAAUGCACUUUUCGUUUAACAAGUCAACAUCAAUUUCUUUUGUUGUAAAAGGGUCAUUGGAAGGUGGCUUUCUUUCGGAGAAAGUGUUUAUAGCCUUUGGCCUCUGCAAUCGGAGAGAUUGAGGUCUGCAGCGUAGAUCCUUCGGGUUAGAUACAUUUGUGCUAAGUUAUAGCCUUUCAUAGACAACUUGUUGACUAUGAUCAGUCAUGUAGCUUACUCGCUUAUGCUAUUUUACCUACGCUUAGGAUGUUG